ensembl:lncRNA
AGGAGAUAAAGCUAGAGAGAACCAGAACCAGAGGGUGCAAUAACAGAGGUCAGCAUGGCUGGGACAUGUAGGAGCACUUGGAACUGAGCAAAGAAACCAUGUAUGAAAAUGUGACAGGGUGCGACAACAGAAGUCAGCACAGCUGUGGUGUAGGAGCACUCGGAACUCAAUCCCUUGCCCUACCACAGCAGAUCUUUUUGGUCUAACAUGCACCAGCAGUAACCUAGGAGGACGGACCAGCCAGGUGGCCCUCUGCUCAGUUGAAAAGCUGCUGAACAGACUUCAGAAGAAGUGUAAACGGCCAACAGAUGUAUGCAAAGACAUUCAGCAUCUUCAGCCUCAAGAGAAGUGCCAAGAACAAGCUUCGUGUAGAGGAAUGAUCACACCUACUGAUGAGGAAACAGGCUGAGGACAUUCUGUUGCCAAGGGACCGUGUGGCUUCUUACCACACAAGCAUUACUGUGGUUUGCUCUGUUUCGCCACGCUUGUAAGUCUCAAAGUUAUUGCUUCUAACGGUAAAUGUGUCCUCUGGAACUCAUGUCUCCUCCUUUUUCUCUUUUGGUCUUAAGUUAUAUCGGGAACCAGACUGUUCUUUUGGGGGGGGGGCGUAUUUUCAGCUUCAGAGUUUCUUUUUUUCCUCUCUAGACUUAGUUCAGUUUUUCAAACAUGUAAACAUUCAUAAUUUUCAAAAGUUAAAAAAAUUACGUUGGGAAGAUACCUACAGGGAGGCCUCAUGCUGUUGUCCCUCAACAGACUGUCCCUGGGCCCACACAGCCAUGCUGUGUUUUCCUAGUGUCUUUGCUUCACUUUUUUAUGGCAUCAAAGGCACCCCUGUGCCGUUGGCCAGUUGUUGGUUUCCUGCAUGUCCUGACAGUCCCUUUUGGCAGGCAUCCUUAGCCUCUCCUGCUUUUCACUUGGGUGGAUGGAGCUAGGCUCAGGCCUCCCACAGCCUCUGACAGACAGUCUGCCUAUGGCAAGCAGCUUCCCAAGAAGAAUCCUUGUGCGUGUUGAGUGGUGUCUGUGGAUUGAAAUUUGUGGGUAAAGUUUAAUUCGGGAUUGCAGGGUUCAGGAACAAAGCUAUAUCUAACUCACAAAAGGCUGUCAAAUUCUGCCCUCCAGCCGGAGGGGCUAUCAGUACCCACCAGCGAAGUCUGAGAAUGGCAGUUCUCCAGAGGGGUUAAACUUUGGAUUUCUGGAAACUUUACAGAUGGAAGCCCUGGAGGGUCUUUUUUUAUACGUGUGCAAGAGCAUGCAGGGGUGUGGAGAGGGAGGCCAGCCCUAGAUUCCAUUCUCAGGAACACCACCCACAUUAGAGACAAGGUCUCUUUAUGGCCUGGAGCCCACCACCAGGUAAGGCUCCCUGGAACCCACCACCUAGGUAAGGCUCCCUGGAGCCCACCACCUAGGUAAGGCUCUCUGGAGCCCACCACCUAAGUAAGGCUCUCUGGAGCCCACCGCCUAGGUAAGGCUCUCUGGGCUCCAUCACCUAGGUAAGCCUCUCUGGCCAGCUACUGCAGAGCACCCUACUCCAAGCUCUGGGAUAAUCAGCAUGUACCACAAUACUCAGUGUUUUCGCGUGGCUUCUGGGUUCAAACUCAGGUCCUAGUGUUUGCAAGGCAAGUGAUUUCCUGAUUGAGCUGUCUCCACAGCCCCUGGAGAGUCUUGUUUGGGGGAUGAGCUAGGAGCUGGCCAUGUAGAUCUUUUAAAAAUCUCUACUGGUGUCUUUCACGCCUAACUGGGGUUGAGCAUCUUUGAGUCAAGUGUGCCAGGUUCCUUUGCUGUUUCAAUAAGGGUGCCAACAUUGGAUGUCAUUAACAGUCUGGCAGGUUGAUUGAUUUGUUGGCUGCUUGGGAAAUGGGGGAGUAUAUUUCAUUUUGUUUUGAUUUUUAAGACAUGAUCUAUACAGCCCAGCUGGGCUGGGACUUACAAUGUCGUUUAGGUAAGCCUGGAACUCCUGAACCUCCUGCCUCUACUUCCCAAGGGCAACUCUGGCCAUGUGUCACUACAGCCAGCUACAAAGUAGUUUUCUUUCUUCUAAUUUGUCAUCAGUCUUUUCUUUCAACUCUUUUCUCCUGUUACAUGUGCUCCCUGCCUCCUAGCCUCAGCCUGCCCCUACCCUUGCCCCAGGAAGAGCCACUUUCCUGAGAUGUCAGAGCCUUGACUUACGUGGCUUUGGGAGGCAGUUGGAAGCACAUGCUGGUUUGGAGGCUGAGCGAAUACUAGAGUUUGCCUAAGAUGAAGACCUGUGUGCAGCAUGGGACGGGCCAUGUGCCACACUCUAGCCCUUGUCGUCUAGAACCAAAUCUUGCCAGCUUCUGCCUCGCUGUGCCCCACCACCUGCAUUGCCCACAGUUGUUAUGGGAAGGUGAGUGGGGUUUGGAAAUUGCUCUUCCUGGUGUGGAAGGUUGUUUGGUGAAGAGCCCUCAUCAGACCCUCCCCUGGAGAAGGUUCUGAACUUCAGUUUCCAGCAUCUCCCUGGUUCAUUCUUUGCAGCUGCCCCUCCUACCAGCAGCUAAAAUUCACAAACCAGAAAAGAGCUGUCUUCAAGGGUUAGUAGCAGCCAACAGUCUUCCCACAACCCCUCAAGAGCAGAGGAGAGUGCUGGCCAGUCCUGGCAUUGGGGAAAUCGGUCAUCACUGGUACAAGAUGAGUAGUAUCCACCCAGCUGUUUACCAAGAAAGCUCCAAGCCACCCCACCCUCAUUCCUUAGAUUGCUUAGUGAGUUUUCCAUUGACCUCCAGGCCUCCCCUUAAGACACAGCUUGGGAGAACACACUGCUCACUUCUUUGUGGUCGAUUAUAUCAGGCCCUGCCCCAGAAAGGGUGCAGAACUUAGGGUGCAUCCCCAAGGACAUCCCUGGGGUGCCUAUUACUUAGUUCAGCCCAGGCGGUGCCCAUCGUGACUGAGAGUUGGGAUGAAGGGCCCUCAGUGGCAUACCAUAAUGCAGUCUGUCUCUCAGAUGCCUGCAUUGGGAUGUGUGUGGUAAAGGUAUUCGGGCACCAGAAGCACGGCUGGGUGUGUUUGGUGGAAUAGUGGCACAUUCCACCCUGUGGAGGGGGAGCCAGUUCGCUGUCAUCCUCCUUUGGGGGCCAGGUUACAUGUGAAUCUUCAUUCACGGUUUUGAGCUCCCAUAAAGCUGCUUGUGCGUACAGUGGUAGUCUUUCCCCCGGGCCUCCUUGUCUGCCUUCCAUAGAGAUGAGUUUCAUUCUCUGUAACGUGGUCCCAGGAGAGAGGAUUAUGCCUACUGAGACAAUGGUAGCCUUCUGCUGGCCACCAUGAAAAAUGUGACCUCCACUACUUAUGACUUGUGAGUGUGGUGUUCCCUGGUGCUCUUCUUGGGGAUCUCCAUGCUGUGGAAUAAUCCCUGUGUACACUGUGAAAACUUGCUUACAUCUCUGUGCUCCUUGAGUCAGAGUUCAGCUUCUCCUAGCUCCUUGUCUUACCACUUGCCUGCAGGCCUGCAAGGUUUCCGAAAGACUUGACUCUGUGAAACUGUGUCUCCACAAUGUAAAACUCAAGCUCUGGAGCAGACUGGAAAGCUGGCAUUCCAAAGCCCUUUCCUGGAAGUAUUCUCAUCUCUCUCCAGAUAUUCCAGGAGCCUGAGGGAGUAAGCUAGAUGGAGCAGGUGCUCAGACAUCCCUCGUGUAUUACCAUGAAAAGAGGGCCACAAGUCAUGUAUCCCCUGUGUUCCUCCCCCACCAAAGGUGUUGAUGAGGGAACUGUAUGAAGGCUGAUAACAAACCCACAGUGAAGAAGUACACCCUGACUGAAGGGCAUGCAGGACAACCACAGCAGAGCCAGGCAGAUGGCACACACAGCCCAUCCCAUGAAGAGAGACCAGGCAGAGAGCCAGUUACCAAGCACCCAGGGGUUGCCUUCAUUGAGCCCUGAGCAGUGAGUGCCCACCCUGGCUCCAAGUCGGCACCUUGCGUACCAUCUGGGAGGACAUGACUCCUGCCUCCAGGACAUACAGCCUCAAGCCGACCACACAGGUACACGGUCUCAGCUGCUUGUGUGAGCGCUGGAGCCUAGGCUGCCUGGUCUCUGUUGUCCUCUGGCACCUGCACCUGCAGGUGUUCACGCUACGCCACAAGUGACUAAGAUGGACCGUGUGCCUUAUGCUCAGUGUGCGCACACCUUGUGCCACGCUGCUGAGCCACCGCCACACUCUGACCUCAUGUGCUGUGCUGUCCUCCCCUCAACCCUCCUCUGGCUACACAGCUCCUAAAAGCACCAGUCUCUAACCGUGACCAUCAUCCUCCAAUUCAGUGAAGGCCUCUGAGCAUUGGGCCCGUGAGAACCAGUGUAAGUUGGAAGCCUGAACACUGCGGAGGCAGAGAGCAAGGUUAAUUCAUGAGAAAAGGAAGGAGUGUGAAGACGGAUGCCAGGAGGGCCCUGGGAUCAUGGGACUCUGGAAUUUAUCGAAGGGCUAAAAUGAACAGUAGGUCAUCCAGUCCAACCCUGCUAGGCUAUCCCCGGCCCCUGAAAAACCCUACAGUGCUCAUGCCCCACCAGUGUCAGUCCUGUAGCCCUGGCUCCUAUGUAGCAGGCUCACUGAGGUGGCAGAGAAGCUUGGCUCUCCUUGAUGGGUGGGUCUGAGAAGGGUAGCAACACAGAAAGGGAACAGGAGUGUGCCUCCUUCCAGUGGGAGAAGCAGGACCUGCAUCCUGAGGCUCCAGCGUCUCCAUAGUGAGCAUCUUUCUCCACCGCACGGGAACUCAGCUUCACCUUCCUCCAGAUCCCAGCAUGCCACACUUUGCCCAAGCACCCUCAGUGGAAUAUAGGCUCUCCACUCUGGAGCCCAGGAAAAGGUGGGAGGACAUGGGACACGGACAAUGCCUACAAGAUGUCAUAGAGGAGAGGAGAGGAGAGAAGGAUGAUGGCUCCAUACAAGCCUUGGCAAUUUCUGGGAUGAUUUAUUAAGUGGGGGGUGAUUCAUAAGCACUGAGAAAAGAAAAGGGGAGUUCUUGGGACCAGCACGAACAUAAAUCAACUGUACCUCCUUUUGACAGGAAAUAUACUAGAUUAGGGGACCAGAGAGACACCACACAGCCAGGAUUUUAUUGCUUAUAACACAGUCCCAUGGACAAAAUGCAGCCAAUGUGCACAUGAAUAAGGAAAACUGCAAGCCCUCUGUGGUGAUUUGAAACAUAAUGGCCCUCAUAGGGGGUGGUACUCUUCCACAGACAAAACCAUAAAAGAGCUGUGAGGUAAGAAAACAAUCUACCCUUUUAUCUCAUCAUUUCUAUACUAUAUCACCCUUUUUUCCUUCAGAAAGAGACCCUUGAAUCUAACUCCUUUGUUUAACUGUUUUUCCUGAUCAUAACCAAUAACAAUUUGUAACCAACCACCUAAAUGAUAACAAACAUGUACAACCCAUCGAAUGACCAAAAGCCAGCCACCCCACCUCUUGGGAAUGUGGGCAUCGCGUUCUGUAGACUGUUUCCUGUUGUCUGGGAACACUGACAUCUUUAAGAGAUGCUGGGGAAAAAAUGGGAUAGAGGUCAAGUCCUGGGAGAGGUAGCUGUAUUAUUUGUUGUCCAGUCUCUGUGCAAUGGAAAGGUGUAAAGCUCCUCUGAAGUUCUGGCUGGAAUAGUCUGUGAGGCUGGACCAUCUCAGCCAGCAGCCUUGAAGCUGUUCUGGAUAUGGAACUCUGAAGAAACUGCAACCGAGGCCCUCUGAGAGGCUGGGUCUCUUGGGCCACCCAUCUUCAUUUGUGCCGGGUCCCCUUGCUCUAUCUUGUAGUUUUUCUAGGCUUAUGCCUUUAUGUCUGUAGCCAGGAUUUUCAGGGGGUCUCCCCUGUUCCAAUCGGAUCUCAAUUAACUUGAAAGGAACCCACAGCCUUUUGUUUCCUCUGGAAACAAAAGCAUAACCUCUCCUGCAAUGCAACAUAUUGUCUGACUUCUAUUUUGAAGUUAAGACAUUUUAAAAAUAUAUAAGAUGGUUUAAUUUAGCAUUUCCAUAAUCCAAUAUCUCUCAAUAGCUAUUGUUUUUUCUACAUUAGCCUUUAAAAAAAUCAAAGUUAACAAGACACCAUUGAGUAUCCAGACUCCUUGUGUAUUUUCCAUCCUUAUGUGACUUUAUUUUUAUUACUUUAUUCUCUCUUUAAAAACUUUAUUAUUUUUAAAUUAUUUAUUUUUCUAUGACUGUCUAUACCUAUUUUCCCCUUAAGCCUAUGCACACUGUUAAACACACUGUAACUUGUUUAGAAAUUUGUUUUUUUUUUCCCAUCUGAACCUGCUUUACUGUGUAUCUGUAACCUUUUCUGUCAGCAUGAGCAAAACCUUAAACCGUCCUGCAGCUUAGCUCAUGGUGUGGCUCAAGCCCUCAGGCUGCAGCCAGGAAACAUGUCUCUGUACCUCAGCCUGCAUGAGAGACUGAGGGGCUAGGAAGCUUCAUUUUGCUCCAGUUUUGCAUACUUGUGUAUUUGGAACCUUUUUUUAUUAAGCUUUCUUGGGUCUUAUGUGGAAAUACCUGCCUAGACAUUGGCUACCAUUUGUAGGCAGAUUUUUCUGUCCCACCAACCAACUCCCAAAUCACGACAUGAGACUUAUUAUCAGUUGUAAAAGCUCAGCCAAUAGUUUAGGUGUGUUUUUAACUAGCUCUUACAACUUAAAUUAACCCAUUUCUUUAAUCUACGACAUUCUUUUAGGUGACUUGUAAUCUGUAAAGUCCAUGCUGCUUCCUCUGCACCUGGCUGGUGACUCCUUGGGCCUCUAUCCUUCUUCUGUGUUCUCUCUGCCCCCCAAAAUCCUGACUAGCUGUUUAGCUUUCUAUUAAACCAAUCAUAGUGACAUAUAUUCACACAGCGUGUGAGGGAAUAUUCUACAAUACAGUCGAAUCUCUUUGGCCCCACACCAGCCAUCAAGAGAAGAUAGGCCCCGAAUGAGGAAGUGUACAGACCCUCUGCCUCCCAGACGUCUGGCAGUGGCUGCUAAGCGGUCAUGUUAGGAAGAAAUCAUGUGAUACACUAAGCUAGAAUGCUGAUUAAUGAAGUCGACAGGCAGUGUGUGAGCAAUGUAUGUGCCUGGUGACCCACUUAAAGGCGGGCUCACUUUCAAGCUUAUAACGGAGGUUAUAUGCCUGGAGCGCAGUUGUCCAGAAAUUGUUGGAGGAAGUGUGUGGACAGGGUCUACUCCAGUUUCUGCCAAUCCAUCUUCUACAGGCCCUGGGGGGAGGCUUUCCAAGCAUCCCUUUCCUUCCCCUCUCCACUCACACUGUUCAACAAGGAGACUGGGUGUGUUUUUAAAACCCACUCACAGGGAUUUGGGGGAGCAGAGGGGGAUUCAUCUGCCCCCACAGCAACUCAGAUCAAUCGAGGAGAAAAACGAAGGGUACACCAACGGCCACAGCGUCCCAUGGAUGGCACAUCUGUUUUGACAUGGUGUGACCUUGGGAAAGCACCAUGGACAGUGCUUCAAGGUACAGAACGGGAAAUCAAACCUUGGCUGAAGACAUGGCCAUGAAGGCAUGCUUUCAUGGAUAGCUAGCACGCCUUUGCCGGCUGACAGGCCUGAGUUCUCAGCUCAUGCAGGCUGGGAGGCCUGAGCCUCAGAGGAAAUCACGUACUCCUUCAUGAGUAGACAGGAUGUCAGAGGAACUGGCCUCUGCAAUGCAAGGGAGUAGGAGAGGGAUGGCCAGGAUGGGCUGAACUGCCUAACACCUGCCUCCAAAGAUGACUUCUGUUUCUUUCCCUAGGGGAAUAUUCCCAUAAAGCCAGACAACUCUGGUCACUGCAAGCCCGCCCUGGCCCAGGACACAUGCUUCCAGCAUGACAGGUCUGAGAGACAAUGGGCAGGGAGAGCUGUCUGCUCUCCACUCCCCACCAGGCUGCUGGCGAUCCUGACCUCCAGCCAGGGGAACCUGUGGUUCCAGCUUUCACCUUCUCAACUCUCUGGAAACACAGAACGGAUUUGCCAACUCUUCAGAUUGCAACUGUUGUUGCAACCUUGAGGCAUCAGGGGUGAGAAAGGGGCGGGGAACCCAGGAGGAAGUGAAAACAGGAGAGAACCAGAAAGUGGAAAAGAAGGAGGGGGCGGCAGGAAAAAAAAGAAUGAGGAGGAGCAUGUGGAUUCUCUCCCAGGAGAAAGGACUGGGUGUCACCUGCUGGUGACACCUGGUUACUUCCAGGUCAAUGUGGCCAGAUCAGAACUGUGAGAAAGGCAUUCAACAGCACGCACACACACCCACAGGCUCUGCCACCCUUUCCACAUGUCAUGUGAGUCAUGAAAAGCAAGGUGACACCUCUAAGUAGGUGGGUAUCUUGAGUCACCUUUCGAAGGCACAGUCAAGAGUCCUGUAAGAAACUGCUAGAAGGAGCCCUCCAGGAGCUGGCCUUUCCCUCUUGACUGCAUCAUUCGUGCUGAGACAGAACGGAGCAUGGAGGCACCAGUUCCAAGCACUGGCCUACCUAUGAUGCACCCAGAUUCCUCUGAGGCCGGGCCCUGCCUGGGCCAGAGACAGGGAUAGUGGGAGGAAAGACAGUCUUUCCUCCUCCAACUAUCUGGAGUUCCCAAGCAAGCGAAACCUAAGUAAGGGGUGGGACUCCCACCCCACAAGCCCAUCCACGAGAAAUAAAAGGCCCACAGGAGAGUGAGUUGGUGAGAGGGGGGCUGGUGGUGUAGCAGGCAGAGGACAGCUCUGCACUCCCUGCCCCCACUUCCUCUGUUCUUGUGUUCCCUUCUCAUCACAGCUGGUCCCUGCGACCUCUGCUACCUUUGAAAUACCUCUCCCGCUCCCCCUGCCUCCUAGGGCUGGGGACUGACUCUGGCUGAGUGUUUAAGGUGGCCCCAGGACCCAACUCUUCUCCUCCCCUUGUCUUUGCAGAGCUUUGUGUCCUAUCAUUUCCCCAUUUAAGGACCUCAUAUGGAACUCCCGGAUCAAACUCCAAGUCCAAGCCCGCUCCAUGGACCCCAAGUCCGUGAUCUCAGUUUUUGGCUCACAGCCCUGCUCACUCCCACACCUCCUGCUCUAGAGCACCCCCACAGCAAGCAGAGAACCCAGAGAAAUGUGAGGUACACCAAACCACAAAGAAGUUCUACACUCAAGCUCAGCAAACUCCUACUCCACAGCCCAUCAGGGCCCCCAGCCCCACCUCAGCCCGUAUGUAAGGUGUCAAGUGCCAGAAUGGGAAUGGUCCAUGUGCCAAAAAUCCAACACUUCCCCAGACGAGGGUAAGAGCGAGGUCACAGCCUCGAUGAAGAAAUGUGAGCAUUUCUCAGGGUUUCAUUUUUCAUUCAAGCCAAGCACAGUCAUCAUCUGGGGCUGAUGGCUCUUGGAGGGCGAUCUCGUCUUGCUUAUGUACCACUUGGGGAACAUUAAAUACCAAAUAACCACAAAGGAGGCUUCUAACUUUCCUAUGAUUAAUGGCAGGUUGAUGUACGGCCACCAUAAGAUGCAGUGAGCAGAAAUGAUCUGAAAAGAGAAGAGCUAACACUUGCUCAAUGCUUGUUGUGUGCAGAAUGCUGUUUCCAAGUCCCGCAGGAGACACUGUUAUCAUAAUUAAGAAGAUGAAAACAGAGGCUUACAGCAGUUUAGCCACGUGCCCCAGGUUACAGCGCAGGUCAGCGGUGGCAGACUUGAGCCAAGGCAUUGUCCUACAGGGGUAACUUCCUUUGCCACAUCAGGAACACCCCUUCUACAGCCACAUUUGGGGAAGGAAGCGCCAGGGAGUCAGCCCGGGCUUUACAGCAAGUCCAGAUUGAGACAGUGACCCCAUUUCCGCCCCUGUUGUGGAGAGCUUCCGGGAAGAGGUAGAUGUUAACAUGGUGAAGAGGAUAUGGCGUGGAGAAGGAAUGGGGGCUCUGAUAUACAACCUUAGAUGGCCUGGGCAAUGACUUGAGCCCCAAGAGGGACCUGAGUCCACCUGCCGAGUACAUCACAUGGAGUUUGAGGUGAAGUCCUCCCGUGUGAGGUGUGGUGCGGGCAUCCAGGCAGGAGACCAAGCCUUAGCUCAUGUGACUUUCCACCAAAGACAGGACUGUUCCUGGACAGAACUGGAGCCUCUGCAAGGGAACAGCAGUCACCACACAUAAUCAUGCGAGGUGAACAAGCUUCUACUGCCAAUCAGCUCCCACCACCGCCUGCUGGGCCCAAAGCAAUGUGCUGUGUGACCAAGAGCUGAAUCAUCUGAAACUUAGCCAAGCAGACCUCUUCUGUUUUCCUUUGGGUUGAUUGCCUCAGGUAUUUCGUCACAGCAAGAGGAAGUAACACAAGUCAAACACUACCAAUGGCAGCAGCAGCCCUGCUCACCUCAGCCGCCUCUCUCUGCACCAGCAACAGCAUCGUUUUCACCUCAGAGCUUCCAGUCAUGCCCUUCUACCUUUCUGGAAUAUUAUUUCUUACUCCUAGAUUUUUACCACAAUGGGAGAUUUCUUUAUACAUCUCCUCAUCGAUCCUUCUAGAGGAAGCCAACGUCCCUACUACAAGCGUCAUUGUAUGCCAUCCGGCCUUCGGAAAUGGUAACUUCAUAGAAGCUGGAACCGUAGUCCUGGGCUAGAACCCUGGCUUUGUCCCCUGGUUAAGUCUCUUGGUCUUUCCAUGCCUCCGUUUCAUCAUCCACAAAGGUUAACUAGCAGUACCUUCUCACGCAGUGUUGUGGGUGGAGUCACCUAAUGAAUGACACAGCCAGCCAAACACUCACUGCCACAUCACUGUGGAUCUGAGAUUGAAGGGACCAGCUCCCCUUUCGGCAGUCAUAGCAGCCGAACACGUGCUUGUAUGACCUUGUCCUGGACACUAGAAAGUCAGAUGCCUGCCUCGUGACAAGGAACGAAUCAGAAGUUAGCUGGUGGCGCUAUGCUUUAAGACCCUGGCUGUACUUUACGGACAAGCACACAGCAAUGAUGCAAAGCAUAGCAACCACCCUGGGAGGGCCUAUGGGCCAUAACAACCAUUUGGCCAAUCAACACAGGGCAAUCCCUCCAAGGCUGGAGGUACACCAAUCCUGAGCCUGUGCGUACCCCUAGACACUCCCCUUACGCUGCCCUAUAAGAUCUCGGUCCUGUGGCUUCUCAGAGUCUUUUGCGAGCCAUCUGCCAAGGCGGGUGGGUGAAAGACCGGAGCUAACAUGGGGUUAGCUCGUUAAAUUACAAUAAAGCGUCAUGCAGUUUUCAGCAAGCUCUCGAAUCCGCCUGGUGAUUGGGAUGACCGCGGUCAUGGCCUGGGACCCCUAACAAGAUGCUGCAUAAGCAAGUCUGCUGCGUGGCCCAUUCUCAGCUCAACCUCCCGUGCUCGGAGAAACACAGAAGAGGCUGGAGGAGGAGGGAAUCACCAGCGUGGACUACGAAGUCCAGGAAAAAUGGAGGCCACAAACACUGCGCAAGGACCAAGAACUGGACUGAUACAGGCAAGACAAUGGCCACUGCCUCUAAGAAAAGGGGUGUCCGUGCCGCGCUCUCCCAGGUCAGUGUGAAGGGGCCAGAAGGAAGGAGGCACACAUGGGGGUGGAGGACGGGAAGGAAAAACAUGCCUCUGAAUUGCAAGGCGCGGGCAGAGUCUAUUUAUAUUGGGUUUAAUUAACUCCGCUCCCUGGUGCCACUAAAGCGGCAAUCACACUGCAGACGGCACUGAUUUGAUUGGCAAGAGAUGCGCCAGGCAGAAUAUUAAGACACCAGGCCCCUAUAAAUAGGUCUAAUCACAGCCCCUUACUGGAAGACGGUGAGGAAGACAUUAAUCAGACCUGGCACCCACCCCAGACUUGCUCUUAGGUGCCGCAUCAGGCCCCUUGGUUGCAAAGGAGGUGUGAGUGGGGUUGGGCUAAGUGUGGCAGGAAGGGCUAGGAGGUUUCAUUCGGGCUUCAAGUGCUGUGCGACCUUGAUUAAUUGCUUGCCUCCUCUCAGCCUCUGAUUCUUGCCACCUCCCACUCUGCAAACUGGGAACUGGCAUUGCUCUCUGAGAAGGUAUUAGCCCCAGUAAUACAAAUGUAUGUAUUAUGGAGAGCAUCUCACUGCAACACCUUUACCAAGUGGGAACUUGUUCUUGGCUCCUAGUGUGGCUUUCCCAAGUUCUACCUUCUGUGCCUCUGGCUUCUUCCUAUGCUCCUUAGGCCAACGUUAUUCCAAUAGGAGUCGACGGGAUUGGUCUGGCCUUCAACUCUGUCUCAGGGGUGAGCUCUUCCCUCAAACUCCCAUUUCCAGAAACUUCUUGGCUUCCCAAUGCUGUAAGCACCCAUCCCUUCCCUCUUUUCAGGUCACCAAGGUGUAACCAAACUACUCUCCAACCAUCCAAGGAACCUAAGUCCCUGAGUCUCGGUGAAGAACAGUCCUUGCUGUCCAUCACGGUGCUAAGCCUGCUGCAAAUCUGCCAUGCUGACUUAGUUUGUGUCUCGAAGCUGUAGUGUCUGAAAGGGGGAAAUGGCAGUGAUUUUCUGUGCAUGGCAUGUCUUGGGAUGAACUUGUUCGCCACCUCAUCUGGAUGUAUGUGUUCACUCAGGCUUACUCACCAAGGGGGAGUGCGGACAUAGCCCCAGACCAGGAAGCAGCAAGGUCAUUGGAGAGUUAAUAAAGAUACAGAUGGCCAGUGGCUUACUGUUCUGUCUGUGAACAUCUACUGCUCAGCAUGAUCUCCACAGGCUGAAAAAGUCAGAGUACUAGGCAGGUGGAGCACCUCCAAAACAAUCAACUCCCCCUUGAAAAGCACUCUAAUCCAGCUGUGCGUGCAGUGCCAAGGGAAGCAAGAAAAGCCUCUUAUCACAAUCAGCACCUUUCCCCAAAGCCUGGAGAGAGCACAGAGGGCAUUCUGGGUAGAAGAAACUGAAGUACUCCCACCUAAAUGGUAAGGGUGAGUACUCUUAGGGCAGUGCGUCCUUGGGGAAGUCAAUGGUGAAACACUGUGAACAGAAAGACAUGAGCUUGCACUCUAGCCACAAGGGGAGCCCCUCACAAGGUCAACAGUGCCCACUACAGUGCUUCUGUGGAGCAUGGGAGUGUGGAUGUUCAGAACUGUGCGUGUCUUGGUUGCCUUUCCCGAUACUGUGAUAAAAUCUGCGGACGCUAGGAACUUAUGGGAGAAAGGGUUUCUUUCAGCUCACAGUUCAAAACACAGACAUGGUCAAGGCAGCAGGAGCUUGAAGCGAUGGCUCAUGUUGCGUCCACAAACAGGAAGCAGGGAGCAACGGAUGCCAAGGCUCAGCUCGCUCUGUUUUGUAUAGUCUAGGAUCCCCUCCCGGAGAAGGGUGCUGCCCACAGUUAAGAUGGGAUUUCCCACGUGCAUUAAGUCAAUCAAGGUAAUUCCCCUCCACAUGGCCAGAGGCCCAUCUCCCAGGUGAUGGCUGACAAGAAACAGAACCACCACCAAGAUCUGUAAGUAUAAAGUGCACACCCAAACCCAAACCCAAAGCCCUCAUUGGAAAGGAAGGUGUCAGUUAUCUCCUGAAAUUCCUACUGGUGCCGUGUUGAAAUGACAUCCCAGAUAGAUUGGUUAAGCAAAGAAUACUGCUGAUUUCACCUGUGUCUUUUCACUUUCAGAAUGACUCAUAGGGAUGACGUAGCCUACUUCCCUUCUUUUCCCUCAACACCUUUAUGGUUGUAAAAGAGUGCAUCUUGUCUUUGCAGACAAGAGAUCCUAGACUGGGUCCUGGCCUAAGGAUCAGAUCGUAAUGUUUUCAUCUUUUUGUCUGUUUCUUGUUUUGUUUUCAGACAGGACCUCACUUUGCAGAGGAGUUUUCAUGGCCUUUAUUGAACGGUAGAGAUGCCACAGCCAAAACCCGUGUGCUCGGCAGCUCAUGAUAACCUUCCAGAAUUAACUCAAGAGGAACGGCUGAAGACUCAUCUGCACCUUCAUCCAAAGCACAGACACCAAAUGAAGGCAGACAUGUCAGCCGUUUGUCCCACUUUUAUGACCUCAUGGGCCCGAGGGAGGAGUCAGUGAGUUGGGAUUUUGUUGUUUUUAGAUCCUUAAGAAUUUUGUACAGUGAGUUCUGAUCACUUUCACCCUCCCACAACUCUUCCAAGAAUCACCCCCACAACACGUCUCCCCCCUCUUGCCUUCACAUCCGAUUUUGGGUCUUUUUCCUUCUAUCAAGGUCAAUUUGUGCUGCCCAGAUAUUCUGUAAUGUGUGGCCUUUGACUGGCGUGUGGUUUUUAACGAAAGCAGCUUCUCACAAGCCUUUUCACAGAGAUUGCUAUCUGCUUGGAGACAGAACCCACAAAGAGAAGAGCCUAUGAGGAGUCUGCAGAAGCCUGCCUAGGAGCAGCAUCUACCUCUCUAAUCCCUUUUCAUUGGCUACUGCUUGUUUAAUGGCUACUUCCCAUUCCAAGGGAUCUUGGGAAUUGUAGUCUGGCUGUGAACCUAAAAGGAGCUAGCCAUGUCCUACUACCAUCACCAGGCUUGAGAUGACAGUGUCUCAGGGCCCCAAAAGAAUGGACCCUGGGGUCAGAGGGCCCCAGGAGAGUCUGUGCAGACUAUGCCAGGUGAAUAGCAUAUUACCUGGCAGCAGAGCAGGAGGAACUGUCUUGCAAGAAGAGGUGUCACACAGCUCUGACUCACAGCUACACUGUACCCACUUCCUGGUUUUGCUUUGUCUUUUGUAUAAAACUGUAGCAUUCUUGCAGGAAAGAUAGAGACAGAAUUUCCCUUUCCUGGGUUCUGGCCCAGUCUGCAAAUAAAGCUCUCUCUCUCUUCACCAGUUGUUGUCUCUUGGUUACCUUUGACACAGCAGCAGGCUGCAGGCCUCCCAACCUCCUGAGGCUGGAGUGGGUAGAGCCUCUUGUAUGUAAACUAUGUGCCCCGUACUCUCAAGAAUGUAAGGAAUACUCUUCAUUCUCUUUUCAGUUGAAGAAGAAUGGGGUUUGAAAGGUUUAAACACUGGACAAAGGUCAGCACCUCUUUAUUUAUUCUCUCUCUCUCUCUCUCUCUCUCUCU